UCAGCAGCUCUGGGAGCGAAGCCCUUUUACUGAACAGGGGACGCAUAGCAAGUACAGUGUGUCCCUGGCAUUGCCCUGCAAAGGUCCUUCAAUUCUGCCCUAGAGGGACCACCUCUGAGGGUGAUAGGCUGUUCAGCCUCCAUCAGCCUCUCUGCUGAGCGUGCCAUU
rnacentral:sRNA from 1 species